rnacentral:lncRNA from 1 species
GGCAUCUUGAUCUGUGCAGCGAGGUGCCUGGAUGGCAGACAUGCGUGUUCUGUCAUCGCAAAGGAGUAUUUCCCAUUGCAAAUUAAUGGUUUCUCAUUCCGGUUCACGCACCGGCUUCUUGUGAGUUUGGUCAAGUUACUGAGUGUCUCUAUUCUUUGCCCGUUGUCCUUUCAAUUGUUCAUCAUUUUGCAUUUCCACCUCGAGCACAGAUCACACUUCUUCGUAUCCGUCCUAGUACAGGAAUUGGGAGUGUAAGUCUGACGUUACUUUUUCUGGAUGGCUACCCAGCCGUCCCGGCAUCCUAUACGGAACAAUAGCCCACGGACCGUCAGGUUCAGACGCCACCCUGAUCAUGAAAAAAAAAAAAAAAGUCCUCAUACGUAUUUAGAUAUAUUUCCGGAUUUUUCUUCUCUCUCUCUCGUUUUAAAAAGAUUUUAGUUUUAAGUAAUCGCUACACCCAACGUGGGGCUCGAACUCACAACAACUCCAAGAUCAGGAAUCACAUGCUCUACCCACUGGCCCGCCAGGCACCCCUGGAUUUUUUCUCUUAAAAAUUCUUCUGAUAACCUGUUUUUAACAUUUUUGAUGCAGGCGCGCCCGGACGGCUCAGCUGGUUAAGCAACCAUCGGCUCCUGAUUUCGGCUCAGGUCACCAUCUCACAGUGUGUGAGUUCGAGCCCCUCAAUGGGCAGUGCGGAGACUACUUGGGAUUCUCUCUCUCUCUCCCUCUCUCUCUCUGUGUCUCUCACCCAAAACACAAACAUAUGCAUAAAUAAGCAAACUUAAAAUUUUUGAUUCAACUGAUUCCCCAGUAUCACACCUACUCCGUGACUGGCACCUGUGGGCCCUGGGUCGGCAAGGGGCAUCUGCCAAGCUCUUCCAGUCCUCUUCUGCUGCCAUUCAGCCACCAUCACACCCCCACAGAGCCUUGGGGAUGCCCACGCACAGCAGGAGGGUGUCUGCCCCCCUCCCGCCCGCUGCCAAGGACACCAACUCCAACUCCAGGCGCUCCUGAGCGUUCCCUCCUCAGGCUUGGCCGGGCUGUUGGGUCCCUGCCAGCCCAGGAGGACAGCGUCCUCAAGUCCAAUCCCCACCGCGUCUGUGUUUUUGUUUUUUUACCUGGCCCUGCGGCAGCCCUGCCUUCGUCUCCACCUCUACCCUGUCCUCUGGCUCCUGAGCCGAAAUCGGACACUCGACCGACCGAGCCACCCAGGCGCCCCUCCAGCGGGUUCUUUUUUGUCCCCUCAGCUCAGCUUUCACAACUAGUUGAAGAGACCCGGUCGGAGAGACAUGCCAUUUUGUUUUGUCUGACUUCCCCUCCCCUCCCCUCCGCUCUCAAUUCUUCUCCCCUCUCCUUUUUCUCCACUUACACACAAAAGCUUUUGCUUCUGUGACUCCCAUCAGAACCCGGUCCGUCUGUCUGACUUGGCAGUGGGCAAGGGAGAUUGUUUUUUCUAGCAACGGCUGGCCACGUUAGGGUCACCUAUACCCUGUUUUAAAAAUGACUCCGGGGGCGUCUGGGUGGGCUCGUACAGGUGAGCGU